GCCAGACUCCUACGGGAGGCAGCAGUGAGGAAUAUUGGUCAAUGGGCGCAAGCCUGAACCAGCCAAGUCGCGUGAGGGAUGACGGUCCUAUGGAUUGUAAACCUCUUUUGUCGGGGAGCAAGGCCCGCCACGUGUGGCGGGAAGGAGAGUACCCGAAGAAAAAGCAUCGGCUAACUCCGUGCCAGCAGCCGCGGUAAUACGGAGGAUGCGAGCGUUAUCCGGAUUUAUUGGGUUUAAAGGGUGCGUAGGCGGAAUAUCAAGUCAGCGGUAAAAAUUCGGGGCUCAACCCCGUCGUGCCGUUGAAACUGAUGUUCUUGAGUGGGCGAGAAGUAUGCGGAAUGCGUGGUGUAGCGGUGAAAUGCUUAGAUAUCGCGCAGAACCCCGAUUGCGAAGGCAGCGUACCGGCUCCACACUGACGCUGAGGCACGAAAGCGUGGGUAUCGAACAGGAUUAGAUACCCUGGUA
rnacentral:rRNA from 1 species